UGCUUUGAUGAAGUUUUCGGAUGGAUUUAAACAGCUUAGUGGCGGACGGGUGAGUAACGCGUGGGUAACCUGCCUCGUACUGGGGGAUAACAGUUGGAAACAGCUGCUAAUACCGCAUAAGCCCACGGUACCGCAUGGCACUGAGGGAAAAGGAUUUAUUCGCUUUAGGAUGGACUCGCGUCCAAUUAGCUAGUUGGUGAGGUAACGGCCCACCAAGCCGACGAUCGGUAGCCGACCUGAGAGGGUGAUCGGCCACAUUGGGACUGAGACACGGCCCAAACUCC
rnacentral:rRNA from 1 species